rnacentral:rRNA from 1 species
AUGGAGUUGCUAUCUCAUGAGGAUUUUGUGUUGGUCGCCGUAACUUUAUGGGCCAUAUGGCAUUCCAGGCGUAAGGCGAUUCAUGAAGCUAUAUUCCAAAGUCCCCAUACGACUCAUGGUUUCAUCACAAGGUUUAUAGCUGACCUUGGUAUUGUUAACGAGAAAAACGAAAGAGGGGCGGCGACAGUCGUCACACACGAUCAGGCGCAUACACGGCCAAGGAACCCACCAAUAGGACAUUUCAAGAUACAUGUGGAUGCGGGAGUGGCAGGUAGAAGGGGAGGAUCAGUUGCGGAUGUUUGCAGAGAUGAAGAAGAAAAUUACAUGGGUAGCUCAGCCCUUGUUGUCGAAGGGGUCACGGACCCAGCCUCCCUUGAAGCGAUGGCAUGUCGGGAGGCCUUGGCCCUUGCAGAGGAUCUUGGAAUCCAAAACCUGGUGGUGGCUUCGGAUUGCCAACAGGUGGUAUCUGACAUCAAUAAAAAUGCUAGGAGAACAUAUGGAGCGAUUGUUAGCGAGAUUAAUCUGAGAGCACCUCCUUUGCACUGUACUUUUGUGUUUGAGAGUCGUGUUGUUAAUGUUGAAGCACAUCGUUUAGUCAAGUUUUCUUUUUCUAGAGGUCCAAGACGCCAUGUUUGGUUUGAUGCUCCUCAUGAUAUCAGAUGUAUCCCACUUUAUGUGGAUUUUCAUGAAUAA